rnacentral:lncRNA from 1 species
GUCGUCACAGCAAACACUUCCACAGAGUCUCGGAAUGUUUUAUAAACCAGUCAUGCAGGAACACGUGCUGUGGUGUAACAUGCUGCCCCCAAAUUAGAGAAUGCUCAGCUUCUGUCCAGCUUGCCUAGCAUCUGAAAUAAUGAGAGUGGCAAGGCUCGUAAGAGAAACGGAAACACAAGAAACAUAUUAAGACCUGGCACACAAAUAAAUAAAGUUUAACUGCACCAAUGUCAUCUCACAGUGGG